rnacentral:rRNA from 2 species
UUAAGCGACUAAGCGUACACGGUGGAUGCCCUGGCAGUCAGAGGCGAUGAAGGGCGUGCUAAUCUGCGAUAAGCGCCGGUAAGGUGAUAUGAACCGUUAUAACCGGCGAUACCCGAAUGGGGAAACCCAGUGUGACUCGUCACACUAUCAUUAACUGAAUCCAUAGGUUAAUGAGGCGAACCGGGGGAACUGAAACAUCUAAGUACCCCGAGGAAAAGAAAUCAACCGAGAUUCCCCCAGUAGCGGCGAGCGAACGGGGAGGAGCCCAGAGCCUGAAUCAGCAUGUGUGUUAGUGGAAGCGUCUGGAAAGGCGCGCGAUACAGGGUGACAGCCCCGUACACAAAAGCGCAUGUGCUGUGAGCUCGAUGAGUAGGGCGGGACACGUGGUAUCCUGUCUGAAUAUGGGGGGACCAUCCUCCAAGGCUAAAUACUCCUGACUGACCGAUAGUGAACCAGUACCGUGAGGGAAAGGCGAAAAGAACCCCGGCGAGGGGAGUGAAAAAGAACCUGAAACCGUGUACGUACAAGCAGUGGGAGCCCCACCACCAAAGCAUUCUCUGGUGUUGAAGGCCCUGCAAAGCAGCAUCGCGGUGGCGGAGCGUCGUUUGCGACGCCCAACACACAAAACAAGCGGUGAAUGCUUUGGGGUGGGGUGACUGCGUACCUUUUGUAUAAUGGGUCAGCGACUUAUAUUCUGUAGCAAGGUUAACCGAAUAGGGGAGCCGGAGGGAAACCGAGUCUUAAUUGGGCGUUAAGUUGCAGGGUAUAGACCCGAAACCCGGUGAUCUAGCCAUGGGCAGGUUGAAGGUUGGGUAACACUAACUGGAGGACCGAACCGACUAAUGUUGAAAAAUUAGCGGAUGACCUGUGGCUGGGGGUGAAAGGCCAAUCAAACCGGGAGAUAGCUGGUUCUCCCCGAAAGCUAUUUAGGUAGCGCCUCGUGAAUUCAUCUCCGGGGGUAGAGCACUGUUUCGGCUAGGGGGCCAUCCCGGCUUACCAACCCGAUGCAAACUGCGAAUACCGGAGAAUGUUAUCACGGGAGACACACGGCGGGUGCUAACGUCCGUCGUGAAGAGGGAAACAACCCAGACCGCCAGCUAAGGUCCCAAAGUCAUGGUUAAGUGGGAAACGAUGUGGGAAGGCCCAGACAGCCAGGAUGUUGGCUUAGAAGCAGCCAUCAUUUAAAGAAAGCGUAAUAGCUCACUGGUCGAGUCGGCCUGCGCGGAAGAUGUAACGGGGCUAAACCAUGCACCGAAGCUGCGGCAGCGACGCUGAUGCGUUGUUGGGUAGGGGAGCGUUCUGUAAGCCUGUGAAGGUGUGUCGUGAGGCAUGCUGGAGGUAUCAGAAGUGCGAAUGCUGACAUAAGUAACGAUAAAGCGGGUGAAAAGCCCGCUCGCCGGAAGACCAAGGGUUCCUGUCCAACGUUAAUCGGGGCAGGGUGAGUCGACCCCUAAGGCGAGGCCGAAAGGCGUAGUCGAUGGGAAACGGGUUAAUAUUCCCGUACUUGGUGUUACUGCGAAGGGGGGACGGAGAAGGCUAUGUUGGCCGGGCGACGGUUGUCCCGGUUUAAGCGUGUAGGUGUGUGUUCCAGGUAAAUCCGGUUCACUUUAACACUGAGGCGUGACGACGAGGCACUACGGUGCUGAAGCAACAAAUGCCCUGCUUCCAGGAAAAGCCUCUAAGCAUCAGGUAACACGAAAUCGUACCCCAAACCGACACAGGUGGUCAGGUAGAGAAUACCAAGGCGCUUGAGAGAACUCGGGUGAAGGAACUAGGCAAAAUGGUGCCGUAACUUCGGGAGAAGGCACGCUGACACGUAGGUGAAGUGAUUUACUCAUGGAGCUGAAGUCAGUCGAAGAUACCAGCUGGCUGCAACUGUUUAUUAAAAACACAGCACUGUGCAAACACGAAAGUGGACGUAUACGGUGUGACGCCUGCCCGGUGCCGGAAGGUUAAUUGAUGGGGUCAGCGUAAGCGAAGCUCCUGAUCGAAGCCCCGGUAAACGGCGGCCGUAACUAUAACGGUCCUAAGGUAGCGAAAUUCCUUGUCGGGUAAGUUCCGACCUGCACGAAUGGCGUAAUGAUGGCCAGGCUGUCUCCACCCGAGACUCAGUGAAAUUGAACUCGCUGUGAAGAUGCAGUGUACCCGCGGCAAGACGGAAAGACCCCGUGAACCUUUACUAUAGCUUGACACUGAACAUUGAGCCUUGAUGUGUAGGAUAGGUGGGAGGCUUUGAAGUGUGGACGCCAGUCUGCAUGGAGCCGACCUUGAAAUACCACCCUUUAAUGUUUGAUGUUCUAACGUGGACCCGUAAUCCGGGUUGCGGACAGUGUCUGGUGGGUAGUUUGACUGGGGCGGUCUCCUCCUAAAGAGUAACGGAGGAGCACGAAGGUUGGCUAAUCCUGGUCGGACAUCAGGAGGUUAGUGCAAUGGCAUAAGCCAGCUUGACUGCGAGCGUGACGGCGCGAGCAGGUGCGAAAGCAGGUCAUAGUGAUCCGGUGGUUCUGAAUGGAAGGGCCAUCGCUCAACGGAUAAAAGGUACUCCGGGGAUAACAGGCUGAUACCGCCCAAGAGUUCAUAUCGACGGCGGUGUUUGGCACCUCGAUGUCGGCUCAUCACAUCCUGGGGCUGAAGUAGGUCCCAAGGGUAUGGCUGUUCGCCAUUUAAAGUGGUACGCGAGCUGGGUUUAGAACGUCGUGAGACAGUUCGGUCCCUAUCUGCCGUGGGCGCUGGAGAACUGAGGGGGGCUGCUCCUAGUACGAGAGGACCGGAGUGGACGCAUCACUGGUGUUCGGGUUGUCAUGCCAAUGGCACUGCCCGGUAGCUAAAUGCGGAAGAGAUAAGUGCUGAAAGCAUCUAAGCACGAAACUUGCCCCGAGAUGAGUUCUCCCUGAGACUUUAGGUCUCCUGAAGGAACGUUGAAGACGACGACGUUGAUAGGCCGGGUGUGUAAGCGCAGCGAUGCGUUGAGCUAACCGGUACUAAUGAACCGUGAGGCUUAACCU